CAGUAGCCACGGUAACACGAAGGGGGCUAGCGUUGCUCGGAAUGACUGGGCGUAAAGGGCGCGUAGGCGGUUUUGACAGUCAGAUGUGAAAUUCCUGGGCUUAACCUGGGGGCUGCAUUUGAGACGUCAAGACUAGAGUGUGAGAGAGGGUUGUGGAAUUCCCAGUGUAGAGGUGAAAUUCGUAGAUAUUGGGAAGAACACCGGUGGCGAAGGCGGCAACCUGGCUCAUUACUGACGCUGAGGCGCGAAAGCGUGGGGAGCAAACAGGAUUAGAUACCCCCGUAGUCCCUGUCUCUUAUAC
rnacentral:rRNA from 1 species